ACUCUUCCCUUCCUCUCACCCUGUGCACCUGAGAGCAAGCCUCCUACUACUGCUUCUCUUGAUUCAUGCUUUGUGAGGGUCCUGCCUUCACAGAGCACAUCUAGCCCUACCAGUUUCUUGGCUUAGUGUGUCUCAUCUGCUGGUCCAUGAGCCGCUGAGAAGCCUUUCCUGUCCUCUUCUUCCCUCGUCCCUGGAUCUCCAAGGAAUAUAUCUAGCCUGCAGCAUUAUUUAUUUAUUAAAAGUAAACUCUAGGAAGGCUGACAAAUCCGAGCCAGUCCCCAGCCCACUCAGUCCUCUGAAACAUAUAUACACCCAAAUUAAGCUGAAGAUGAUUUUCAGAAGCAUUAGAGGAAGAGAAAGAGAAGGGAAGAGGCAAAGAAAAAGAUAACUGAAGACUAAUCAUACCAAAACCAGGCAUGCUUUUGCUGUGUUUUUUUCCAUUCCUGUUAUAUUUUUGUUUGGAUUGGCUCCAGAGAAGCCCUGUUCCUUGUCUCUCUUGUUGUUGUGUGCGUGCUCAUGCAUAAAUUCAGGUCAAGUAUGAAAACUCUUUUCUGCAUUCCUGGUAAGAAUGUGUAAUGUCCUUAUCAACAGAUAACAAGAAAUCUGAACUAAUUUGGCUCAUGACCCUGGAUUCUUUUCUUUUUUCUGCCAUUAGCAAAAAUACAGUGUUUGCAUAGGUGUUAUUGUAUUUGGUUCAGUAAAUUAGAGCUGCUUGAAAUUUCUACUAAUCCUUUUUCCAUUGAGGGUUUCCCUGUACUAAGUGAUGCUCAAUAAAACA